CUAUUUUGAAAAUUAAAAACAGCUUUAAUUGAUAGAUAUCAUUUUCAGAAAAAUUCGAAAAAAAAAUUAAUCUUAUAAUUUUCCAGACAUAUUUUAUAUAUCUUUCGAUAUGAUUUAUCGACUGCACUGACGUCGAGAAGUUUCCGGUAUUUAUGGUGAUUAUACAAGCCUGUAUUGCAGAAGACAAAGAAGAAUCAAUUAAUUGUUCGCAGCCGAAUUAUUCCAAAACUCGAAGGAAGGUCUCCUAUUAGUUACCUUGAAAUCCCAUUUCGGCUAGACUCGCAAAUAGCGAACAACAUGAGCAAUUCAUGAGCAACUAACUGUAUCACUAUAAAGAAAACUUGUUUUCUCUCUUUCUCAAGAGAUCUGCAAGAAAAUCAAAAAUACUAAUUGUUAAUUUACGUGUAAUUAAUGGAACUCUCAUAUAUUCUUAAUUGUCCUUUUUGUUUGUCGUCAACUUCGUUGAUCGUUGAUCAAAAGGAAUUUUAAUCUCUUAACAAUGGAUAUCGACAUAAAACUUUUUAUGAUUCGCAUAAAGGAAACAUCGAUUCGAUUCAUCGUUUCUGAAUGGCAUGAAUUUAACGUCGAACGGAUAAAAAUAAAGAGUCGAGCUUUAUACGAAGAGACAAAGAUUUAAAAAUAUAUCGUGGAACAAGAAGAUAGGAAAGAGUAGAGAGAAGGGAAAGAGAGAGAAAAAGAGGAAAACAGAUUGUUGUCGUCAGUCGGUCAGAACUAGCUCGUAAGAAGCCAUCCCCCAGGAGCUUUCCGGUGUCAGACGCUUCCUGUGUUCCUAUCUGACUCUAUAUACCUAUCGAUCCUCGGUCUGCACCCUCCUCUUUGUGCCAUCCGACUGUCGUCCCUCUCUAUUCGUCGCCCUUUCGACCUCCUCUUUCCUCCAGAGCUUGGAGAUCUACAGGGUGUUAAUACAGUACACUUGUCGAACACUUUUGGAAAAUAAAUUUUAGAAGUCAAAACAAAUGUGAAAAAUUAAGUAAUAUAUAAAAAUAUUGAUUUCAAGGCC